UAAGGAAUCUUCGGCAAUGGACGAAAGUCUGACCGAGCAACGCCGCGUGAGUGAAGAAGGUUUUCGGAUCGUAAAACUCUGUUGGUAGAGAAGAACGUUGGUGAGAGUGGAAAGCUCAUCAAGUGACGGUAACUACCCAGAAAGGGACGGCUAACUACGUGCCUG
rnacentral:rRNA from 1 species